rnacentral:rRNA from 1 species
UAACACAUGCAAGUCGAACGGAAGUUAGAGCUUCGGUUUAACUUUAGUGGCGAACGGGUGAGUAACGCGUGAGGAACCUGCCUUUCAGUGGGGGACAACAGUUGGAAACGACUGCUAAUACCGCAUGAUACUUUUGGGGGACAUCCCUUGGAAGUCAAAGCUUUAUGUGCUGAAAGAUGGCCUCGCGUCUGAUUAGCUAGUUGGUGAGGUAACGGCUCACCAAGGCUACGAUCGGUAGGGGUUCUGAGAGGAAGGUCCCCCACAAUGGAACUGAGACACGGCCCAAACUCC